UACGUAGGGUGCGAGCGUUGUCCGGAAUUACUGGGCGUAAAGAGUUCGUAGGCGGUUUGUCGCGUCGUUCGUGAAAACUUGGGGCUUAACCCUGAGCUUGCGGUCGAUACGGGCAUGACUGGAGUUCGGCAGGGGAGACUGGAAUUCCUGGUGUAGCGGUGAAAUGCGCAGAUAUCAGGAGGAACACCGGUGGCGAAGGCGGGUCUCUGGGCCGAUACUGACGCUGAGGCGCGAAAGCUAGGGGAGCAAACAGG
rnacentral:rRNA from 1 species